UAGAUAGUAGGCGGGGUAACGGCCCACCUAGUCUUCGAUGGAUAGGGGUUCUGAGAGGAAGGUCCCCCACAUUGGAACUGAGACACGGUCCAAACUCCUACGGGAGGCAGCAGUGAGGAAUAUUGGUCAAUGGACGAGAGUCUGAACCAGCCAAGUAGCGUGAAGGAUGAAGGUUCUAUGGAUUGUAAACUUCUUUUAUACGGGAAUAAACGAAUCCACGCGUGGAUUUUUGCAUGUACCGUAUGAAUAAGGAUCGGCUAACUCCGUGCCAGCAGCCGCGGUAAUACGGAGGAUCCGAGCGUUAUCCGGAUUUAUUGGGUUUAAAGGGAGCGUAGAUGGGUUGUUAAGUCAGUUGUGAAAGUUUGCGGCUCAACCGUAAAAUUGCAAUUGAUACUGGCAGUCUUGAGUACAGUUGAGGUAGGCGGAAUUCGUGGUGUAGCGGUGAAAUGCUUAGAUAUCACGAAGAACUCCGAUUGCGAAGGCAGCUUACUAACCUGUAACUGACAUUGAUGCUCGAAAGUGUGGGUAUCAA
rnacentral:rRNA from 1 species